AUAGACGGGUUAGACUGAGAACAGUACAGGAGGUCCACACUCAGAGGGACAUUAAUACAGAACACUCAAGAGAUGACCUGGUUAGUGCUGGUUACCAGGUAAACUCUGGAGGUUAGUGUUGGUUACCAGGUAAACUCGGGAGGUUAGUGCUGGUUACCAGGUAAACUCUGCAGGUUAGUGUUGGUUACCAGGUAAACUCUGCAGGUUAGUGUUGGUUACCAGGUAAACUCGGGAGGUUAGUGUUGGUUACCAGGUAAACUCGGGAGGUUAGUGCUGGUUACCAGGUAAACUCUGCAGGUUAGUGCUGGUUACCAGGUAAACUCUGCAGGUUAGUGUUGGUUACCAGGUAAACUCUGGAGGUUAGUGCUGGUUAUCAGGUAAACUCUGGAGGUUAGUGCUGGUUACCAGGU